rnacentral:rRNA from 1 species
CAGUCGCCGCGGUAAUACGUAGGGUGCGAGCGUUAAUCGGAAUUACUGGGCGUAAAGCGAGCGCAGACGGUUAUUUAAGCAGGAUGUGAAAUCCCCGGGCUUAACCUGGGAACUGCGUUCUGAACUGGAUAGCUAGAGUGUGUCAGAGGGGGGUAGAGUUCCACGUGUAGCAGUGAAAUGCGUAGAGAUGUGGAGGAAUACCGAUGGCGAAGGCAGCCCCCUGGGAUAACACUGACGUUCAUGCUCGAAAGCGUGGGUAGCAAACAGGAUUAGAUACCCCUGUAGUCCCUGUCUCUUAUAC